ACCUACGGGGCGCAGCAGUGAGGAAUAUUGGUCAAUGGUCGGGAGACUGAACCAGCCAAGCCGCGUGAGGGAUGAAGGUACAGAGUACCGUAAACCUCUUUUGUCAGGGAACAAAGGCGGGGACGCGUCCCCGGAUGAGUGUACCUGAAGAAAAAGCAUCGGCUAACUCCGUGCCAGCAGCCGGGGUAAUACGGAGGAUGCGAGCGUUAUCCGGAUUUAUUGGGUUUAAAGGGUGCGCAGGCGGCCUGUUAAGUCAGCGGUCAAACCCCGGGGCUCCACCCCGGCCCGCCGUUGAAACUGG
rnacentral:rRNA from 1 species